GCCGGAGUGGCGGAAUGGCAGACGCGCGGGAUUCAAAAUCCCGUCUUCGCAAGAAGGUAAGGGUUCAAGUCCCUUCUCCGGCACCA
rnacentral:tRNA from 1 species